GUGUUCACUUCGGCAGCACAUACACUAAAAUUGGAAUAUACAGAGAAGAACAGCACGACCCCUGCGCAAGGAUGACACCCAGAUUCGUGAAGCGUUCCAUAUUUUU
rnacentral:snRNA from 1 species